rnacentral:rRNA from 1 species
UAGUCUCUCCAGUAAUGCAGCUAACGCAUUAAGCAUCCCGCCUGGGGAGUACGGUCGCAAGAUUAAAACUCAAAGGAAUAGACGGGGACCCGCACAAGCGGUGGAGCAUGUGGUUUAAUUCGAAGAUACACGAAGAACCUUACCUAGGCUUGACAUUGAGAGAAUCCGCUAGAAAUAGUGGAGUGUCUGGCUUGCCAGACCUUGAAAACAGGUGCUGCACGGCUGUCGUCAGCUCGUGUCGUGAGAUGUUGGGUUAAGUCCCGCAACGAGCGCAACCCCCUUUCUUAGUUGCUAACAGGUCAUGCUGAGAACUCUAAGGAUACUGCCUCCGUAAGGAGGAGGAAGGUGGGGACGACGUCAAGUCAUCAUGGCCCUUACGCCUAGGGCUACACACGUGCUACAA